rnacentral:lncRNA from 1 species
GGGGGAGAAGCCUAAAGCUUACCUGAACCACUAGACAUGGCGACGGCGAGCACGAGGAGCAGGAAAGUAGCCAUUUCUACAGCAGCAGCAGCAGCAGCACACACAGAGAGAGAGAGAGAGAGAGAGAGAGAGAGAGGAUUUGCAGCAACCCAGCGAGCUUAUUAGGUUGGCUUGUGAGGGGUGUCAAUGGAUGCGAACAAGAAUCAUGCUUGGGUGAGUGCUGCUGCUUACAUAUCAUCAGAUGGAUUUAUUUCUUCG